ensembl:lncRNA
AUCAGACGUGAUUGACAACCUCCCAUUUCUCUCCACCUCAGACUUGUAGAAGUUGCGGUUUGACGACUUUUCAGGGUUAAACUUGAGCGGUCCUCUUUUCAUGAUCACAAACAAUGAUUUUAAUGAUUGUCAACGUCUUUGUUAGGGGAGUAUUAAGAGGAAUUGGAGUCACAACCACUUAAUCGCUGCUUACUCCCUAGUGAGUUGUUUACCAGUAAACGGGUCCAGAGAAGUAACAGUAUUUAUUUCAGUGACGUUCAGAUGUGAGUCAGUAGUUAUGUUGUUUUCAUUUUUAUUGAUUUUUUUUUUUGUUCAAUAUUGUUCUUGACGACUGUGCUAUCCGCUUGUCACAGUCCUAUAUUUGAUGGUGAUGGCCUCUCAACAGAAGGCUGUUGUAUGUUAAAAACAACAAAUGUUUCACGACACAUGGUCGUGUAUCAUAUUGUGAUUGUGUUGUACAUGUCAAUGGGUAGCCACAUGACACAGGCAAUCGACAUUAACUGAAGAGGAUAUUUCGUACUUGUGUAUCUGUCUGUAUUUUGAAUCGAUCCGAAAAACCAAGCAGGAUUAUUGAUAUUCAUUUCUGACACAUCCGGCCUUUAUGCAGAAAAGCAUUAAGUUGUUGCUCCGUGAUCACAUCGAAACCACUCCCACAUAAAAUAUGCACAGUGACUCCUACGCACAGAACCUAAAAAAAUAAAACAAAUUAAUCCAUCUGCAUUACUAGUAGUUUCUGCCUGCUUCCUGUCAGGCUGCCGAGGGAUUCCUUCGGCUUGGCCUUUAAACCCAUUUGUUUUCACCAGACCCAGUCACCUGAAAUCCUAAAGACGUGUCACGCGUCUUUCAGUAUUACACAUGGUUUGAUUCAACGAGGUGUCUUAAACAUGUAAAAAAAGAAAAGAAAGAAAUGUAAUUCUUGUACAGAAUACAUGUAAUGUAUCUCUGUACCGUCAAUGAGAUGUGUGUUCAGUGCAGUUCUUUCAAUGGCAGAGAAAAAAACUAUUAAAAAAAAUCAAAAGAACGUUUAAAAAAUUGGACUUCUACUGACAGGGUGUUUUGUUAGUAUGUUUUGGGUUUUUAUAUUAACUGUACAGCUCAAUCUUGGCAGAACGGUGAAACAAAACACAAAAAAAAUACAAAAGAUAAAGACAUUCUUGGAAUAUUUUCUCUGUAUAUGUUGUACCUGUUACUGCUGGUACUGUAUCUGGUUUUCUGGCUCCAUCUAAAUCACUGGAACUCUGUAGUUCUUCACGCUGUAGUAUCCUGAAAAGGCAUUUCUCUGGUUUUCUCAAUGAUGGCAGCAAAGUUUGUCUUAUUUAAAUGGAUUCUACCACUUUUUGUUCUUAUUGAUAUUAUACUAGUGUAAUAGAAAUUACCUAAUAAAAAAGAACUGAACAUAUGUUGAUGCUAAAACAAACUGAAAUAAAC